rnacentral:antisense_RNA from 1 species
CACGGCAGGGCGCGCAGCAGGUAGCGCGGGGUGAUGCCGCGCAUCUGCGGCGUGGUCUUGGUGGUGGUGGCGAGCUGCCGUGCCGCAUCGGGACCGAGGCUCAAACGGCCAUUUGU